rnacentral:tRNA from 1 species
CGUGGAAGCUCAAUUGGUAGAGCAUCAGUUCUGGAAACUGAAAGUUGCAGGUUCGACUCCUGUCCACAA